GGUGUUGUAGUUCAGGGGUAGAAUAACUUACUGUCUAUGAGAAGGUCAGGGGUUCGAAUCCCCUCAACACCG
rnacentral:tRNA from 1 species